UCCUACGGGAGGCAGCAGAGGGGAAUUUUGGACAAUGGGGGCAACCCUGAUCCAGCCAUUCCGCGUGAGUGAAGAAGGCCUUCGGGUUGUAAAGCUCUUUCGGCAGGAACGAAACGGUGAGCUCUAACAUAGCUUGCUAAUGACGGUACCUGAAGAAGAAGCACCGGCUAACUACGUGCCAGCAGCCGCGGUAAUACGUAGGGUGCGAGCGUUAAUCGGAAUUACUGGGCGUAAAGCGUGCGCAGGCGGUUGUGUAAGACAGGUGUGAAAUCCCCGGGCUUAACCUGGGAACUGCGCUUGUGACUGCACAGCUAGAGUAUGGCAGAGGGGGGUGGAAUUCCACGUGUAGCAGUGAAAUGCGUAGAGAUGUGGAGGAACACCGAUGGCGAAGGCAGCCCCCUGGGCCAAUACUGACGCUCAUGCACGAAAGCGUGGGGAGCAAACAGGAUUAGAUACCCUGGUAGUCCACGCCCUAAACGAUGUCGACUAGGUGUUCGGUGAGGAGACUCAUUGAGUACCGCAGCUAACGCGUGAAGUCGACCGCCUGGGGAGUACGGUCGCAAGAUUAAAACUCAAAUGAAUUGACGGA
rnacentral:rRNA from 1 species